AGGUGGAUGGGCACACAUCCAACCCUGACCAAACUGACUGCUGGCUAGGGCUCUGAAGCUGAAGUGUGGAACAUGAGGAAAUGGGGACAAUAGGAAGUCAUGCCACCAUCCAUGAAGAUGGCAAGGAGGGCAAUGGUGCUCGUGAUGACUGUCCCCAAGUGAUGCUGCUUUGUCCAUGUUAUGUUCACUUCCCAUGCGCCAUGCAUAGUCUUCCAUCAUU
rnacentral:lncRNA from 1 species